UACGUAGGGUCCGAGCGUUGUCCGGAAUUAUUGGGCGUAAAGAGCUCGUAGGCGGUUUGUCGCGUCUGCUGUGAAAACCUAAGGCUCAACCUUGGGCUUGCAGUGGGUACGGGCAGACUAGAGUGCGGUAGGGGUGACUGGAAUUCCUGGUGUAGCGGUGGAAUGCGCAGAUAUCAGGAGGAACACCGAUGGCGAAGGCAGCCCCCUGGGCUGACACUGACGCUCAGGCACGAAAGCGUGGGGAGCAAACAGG
rnacentral:rRNA from 1 species